GCAGGGGUGGCCGAGCCUGGUCUGGCCGACAUCUCUUACCAAUCCGUUCGCGAGUUCAAAUCUCGUCCCCUGCA
rnacentral:tRNA from 1 species